UGUUUUAUUUAUUUACCUGUUACAAAGAUCUAAUCGAUCAAAGAGUUUUUGAACUCAUCAAUUGGUAUCAGAUCAGGAUGCUGUGUAAUUCAUACACAUCUCUUCUGUGAAAGAAGCGAUUAGGGUUAUUCUGCAUUAACUGAUAUUUAUUGAGCCGUCACUCCAUAAUUGACUUAUCUCUUGGGUAAAUUACACGAAUGGUCCAUGUGAUUUAGGAUAAUCUGCGUGUUUGAUCCCUAACAACUUUUUUUAACUCGGAUCAUCACUAUUUUAUAUUUUUAUUGCAUGAUUGGUCCUUUUCCGUUCUAAAAUGACUAUUAUGUCCUUCUAUUUUUUUUAACCGUUUUAAUAUUUUUUAUUUACUCAUUAUUUAUAGAUAAACGAAAUGUAAUAUAAAUAUAAAAUAAAAUAAUAAAGAAUAAAAACCCUAUAGCUUCGUUCCUUCUCCCAGUUCUUCAUGCUUCACCUUCCUCCAUCACCGCCUCUCACCAUCUUCGUCUCUUUCCCGUUCCAGAUUCCGGUGACCCGAUCUUUCUCCUCCUCACACCCUCUCCAAUUGUCCGUUCACGCUCAAUCGUUCAAUUUGAUAACCCGAUCUGAAACUCAACCCAGUUGAGAACUAAACCCAUCUGAAACAUAAUGAAAGCAGAGGGCAAGACGAAGGCAAAAUUAUCGAUGGUUGGUGGAUUUUCUGAAAAUUGAUUCUCACCACUCGUUCGAUUCGAUUUCUCAGACAUCAGAGGGACAUUAUAAAGAUCAAGAUGCACGUGAAUCAUGAUAUGUUCACACUCCUUCAAUCUCCAAGUUUCCCUAAAUUGUUUGGAUUUUGAUUUAUUUGACUAAACUACAGGAUCUUCAGGUGACAUAGGGUGCAUUGGUGGAGGUUGCAGUGACGACAGGUUGUGGUGGCGAUGAUGAGUGGAAGUGGUGUCGGAGAUGGAGAUGGUGUUGGAAUCUAUUGGACAGAGAGGAUGUGGGAUUUACAGGUUUGAAGAUCCGAUCUCCCAAAGCGAUAUCUGAUUUGCAGGUUUGAGAAUAAAGCUUGAAAUCCAGUUUUGUUUCAAAGCCUUGUGUUGUGUAUGUAAUCAUCGGAAACACAAAGGGGCAGAGGUGUACGAUAGGGGACGGUGGUUGGGGAAGGAGGGGGUGCCGAUGAUGAAGUUCUGAAGCGAAGGAAGAAAAGAACGAGUGGGACCCACACGUAUAAAAAAAAUCUUAUAACCCUUUAGUUAAUAAUAAGCAAUAAGUUAAAAUAA